rnacentral:rRNA from 1 species
UACGAAGGGGGCUAGCGUUGCUCGGAAUCACUGGGCGUAAAGCGCACGUAGGCGGAUUGUUAAGUCAGGGGUGAAAUCCUGGAGCUCAACUCCAGAACUGCCUUUGAUACUGGCGAUCUUGAGUUCGGGAGAGGUGAGUGGAACUGCGAGUGUAGAGGUGAAAUUCGUAGAUAUUCGCAAGAACACCGGGGGCGAAGGCGGCCCCCUGGACCGGUACUGACGCUGAGGCGCGAAAGCGUGGGUAGCAAACGGG